UCCUUAAAAAAGGUGCUUGCUUUAUAAAUCAUAAACAAAGCCUUUUAUUCAAUAGAUUUGAAUUCUUUCAUAGAUACAGAUUAUUAUAGAAACUGAACUAAAAGAUAAUAAAAAGUUAAA